rnacentral:rRNA from 1 species
GUUUGAUCAUGGCUCAGAUUGAACGCUGGCGGCAGGCCUAACACAUGCAAGUCGAGCGGUAACAGGAAUUAGCUUGCUAAUUCGCUGACGAGCGGCGGACGGGUGAGUAAUGCCUGGGAAUAUGCCUUAGUGUGGGGGAUAACUAUUGGAAACGAUAGCUAAUACCGCAUAACGUCUUCGGACCAAAGAGGGGGACCUUCGGGCCUCUCGCGCUAAGAUUAGCCCAGGUGGGAUUAGCUAGCUGGUGAGGUAAAGGCUCACCAAGGCAACGAUCCCUAGCUGGUCUGAGAGGAUGAUCAGCCACACUGGAACUGAGACACGGUCCAGACUCCUACGGGAGGCAGCAGUGGGGAAUAUUGCACAAUGGGGGAAACCCUGAUGCAGCCAUGCCGCGUGUAUGAAGAAGGCCUUCGGGUUGUAAAGUACUUUCAGUCGUGAGGAAGGGUGUGUAGUUAAUAGCUGCAUACCUUGACGUUAGCGACAGAAGAAGCACCGGCUAACUCCGUGCCAGCAGCCGCGGUAGUACGGAGGGUGCGAGCGUUAAUCGGAAUUACUGGGCGUAAAGCGCAUGCAGGCGGUCUGUUAAGCAAGAUGUGAAAGCCCGGGGCUCAACCUCGGAACCGCAUUUUGAACUGGCAGACUAGAGUCUUGUAGAGGGGGGUAGAAUUUCAGGUGUAGCGGUGAAAUGCGUAGAGAUCUGAAGGAAUACCGGUGGCGAACGCAGCCCCU